AUUGAACGCUGGCGGCAGGCCUAACACAUGCAAGUCGAGCGGAUGAAGGGAGCUUGCUCCUGGAUUCAGCGGCGGACGGGUGAGUAAUGCCUAGGAAUCUGCCUGGUAGUGGGGGAUAACGUCCGGAAACGGGCGCUAAUACCGCAUACGUCCUGAGGGAGAAAGUGGGGGAUCUUCGGACCUCACGCUAUCAGAUGAGCCUAGGUCGGAUUAGCUAGUUGGUGGGGUAAAGGCCUACCAAGGCGACGAUCCGUAACUGGUCUGAGAGGAUGAUCAGUCACACUGGAACUGAGACACGGUCCAGACUCCUACGGGAGGCAGCAGUGGGGAAUAUUGGACAAUGGGCGAGAGCCUGAUCCAGCCAUGCCGCGUGUGUGAAGAAGGUCUUCGGAUUGUAAAGCACUUUAAGUUGGGAGGAAGGGCAGUAAGUUCAUACCUUGCUGUUUUGACGUUACCAACAGAAUAAGCACCGGCUAACUUCGUG
rnacentral:rRNA from 1 species